rnacentral:rRNA from 1 species
UACCAAGGUUACGAUCCGUAGCUGGUCUGAGAGGAUGAUCAGCCACACUGGGACUGAGAUACGGCCCAGACUCCUACGGGAGGCAGCAGUGGGGAAUAUUGGACAAUGGGGGAAACCCUGAUCCAGUCAUGCCGCGUGUGUGACGAAGGCCUUUGGGUUGUAAAGCACUUUCAGCGAGGAAGAAAAAUUAUAAACGAAAAAGUUAUAAGUAUGACGGUACUCGCAGAAGAAGCACCGGCUAACUCCGUGCCAGCAGCCGCGGUAAAACGGAGGGUGCAAGCGUUAAUCAGAAUUACUGGGCGUAAAGGGCAUGUAGGUGGUUUGUUAAGCUUUAUUUGAAAUCCCUAUGCUUAACAUAGGAACUGGAUAAAGAACUGACAAACUAGAGUGCAGAAGAGGAAGGUAGAAUUCCAGGUGUAGCGGUGAAAUGCGUAGAUAUCUGGAGGAAUACCAGUGGCGAAGGCGACCUUCUGGGCUGACACUGACACUGAGAUGCGAAAGCGUGGGGAGCAAACAGGAUUAGAUACCCUGGUAGUCCAUGCUGUAAACGAUAUCAACUAGCCGUUUGAUUCUUAAAGAAUUUUGUGGCGUAGCUAACGCGAUAAGUUGAUCGCCUGGGGAGUACGGUCGCAAGGCUAAAACUCAAAUGAAUUGACGGGGGCCCGCACAAGCGGUGGAGCAUGUGGUUUAAUUCGAUGCAACGCGCAGAACCUUACCUACUCUUGACAUCCAAAGUACUUUCCAGAGAUGGAAGGGUGCCUUAGGGAACUUUGAGACAGGUGCUGCAUGGCUGUCGUCAGCUCGUGUUGUGAAAUGUUGGGUUAAGUCCCGUAACGAGCGCAACCCUUGUCCUUAGUUGCCAACGCGUAAGGCGGGAACUUUAAGGAGACUGCUGGUGAUAAACCGGAGGAAGGUGGGGACGACGUCAAGUCAUCAUGGCCCUUAAGAGU